rnacentral:rRNA from 1 species
AGAGUUUGAUCCUGGCUCAGGAUGAACGCUAGCGGCAGGCUUAACACAUGCAAGUCGAGGGGCAGCGGGGAGUAGCAAUACUCCGCCGGCGACCGGCGCACGGGUGCGUAACGCGUAUGCAACCUACCUUUAACAGGGGGAUAACACUGAGAAAUUGGUACUAAUACCCCAUAAUAUCAUAGAAGGCAUCUUUUAUGGUUGAAAAUUCCGAUGGUUAGAGAUGGGCAUGCGUUGUAUUAGCUAGUUGGUGGGGUAACGGCUCACCAAGGCGACGAUACAUAGGGGGACUGAGAGGUUAACCCCCCACACUGGUACUGAGACACGGACCAGACUCCUACGGGAGGCAGCAGUGAGGAAUAUUGGUCAAUGGACGCAAGUCUGAACCAGCCAUGCCGCGUGCAGGAAGACGGCUCUAUGAGUUGUAAACUGCUUUUGUACGAGAGUAAACGCUCUUACGUGUAAGAGCCUGAAAGUAUCGUACGAAUAAGGAUCGGCUAACUCCGUGCCAGCAGCCGCGGUAAUACGGAGGAUCCAAGCGUUAUCCGGAUUUAUUGGGUUUAAAGGGUGCGUAGGCGGUUUGAUAAGUUAGAGGUGAAAUACCGGUGCUUAACACCGGAACUGCCUCUAAUACUGUUGAACUAGAGAGUAGUUGCGGUAGGCGGAAUGUAUGGUGUAGCGGUGAAAUGCUUAGAGAUCAUACAGAACACCGAUUGCGAAGGCAGCUUACCAAACUAUAUCUGACGUUGAGGCACGAAAGCGUGGGGAGCAAACAGGAUUAGAUACCCUGGUAGUCCACGCAGUAAACGAUGAUAACUCGUUGUCGGCGAUACACAGUCGGUGACUAAGCGAAAGCGAUAAGUUAUCCACCUGGGGAGUACGUUCGCAAGAAUGAAACUCAAAGGAAUUGACGGGGGCCCGCACAAGCGGAGGAACAUGUG